UACGUAGGGCGCAAGCGUUGUCCGGAAUUAUUGGGCGUAAAGAGCUCGUAGGCGGCUUGUCACGUCGGGUGUGAAAGCCCGGGGCUUAACCCCGGGUCUGCAUUCGAUACGGGCUGGCUAGAGUGUGGUAGGGGAGAUCGGAAUUCCUGGUGUAGCGGUGAAAUGCGCAGAUAUCAGGAGGAACACCGGUGGCGAAGGCGGUGGUCUGGGCCGGCACUGACGCUGAGGAGCGAAAGCGUGGGGAGCGAACAGG
rnacentral:rRNA from 1 species